GCUCGCGUAGUCCAACUGGCAGGAGACGGCAGUUUCAAAAACUGCACAGUGCAGGUUCAAAUCCCGCCGCGAGCACCA
rnacentral:tRNA from 1 species